GUAAUACUGUAUAAUCCCUGAGGGGGAAAGAUUUUAUCGCUAUUAGAUGAGCCUACAUUAGAUUAGCUAGUUGGUAAGGUAAUGGCUUACCAAGGCUAUGAUCUAUUUCUGGUCUGAGAGGACGAUCAGCCACACUGGAACUGAGAUACGGUCCAGACUCCUACGGGAGGCAGCAGUGGGGAAUAUUGGACAAUGGGCGCAAGCCUGAUCCAGCUAUGCCGCGUGAGUGAAGAAGGCCUUCGGGUUGUAAAGCUCUUUCAAUAGGGAAGAUAAUGACGGUAC
rnacentral:rRNA from 1 species